CGGUACGUACUGGCAUUGUUGGUUUCUCCCUUCUGACGAACCAUGAUGUCAUUUAUUUGGUGUUGUGGGGAAUCAGGACUGUUACUUUGAAAAAAUUAGAGUGUUUAAAGCAGGCUUUCGCUUGAAUACAUUAGCAUGGAAUAAUGAAAUAGGACGUUUGAUCCUAUUUUGUUGGUUUCUAGGAUUGACGUAAUGAUUAAUAGGGAUAGUUGGGGGCAUUAGUAUUCAAUUGUCAGAGGUGAAAUUCUUGGAUUUAUUGAAGACUAACUACUGCGAAAGCAUUUGCCAAGGAUGUUUUCAUUAAUCAAGAACGAAAGUUAGGGGAUCGAAGACGAUCAGAUACCGUCGUAGUCUUAACCAUAAACUAUGCCGACUAGGGAUCGGAUGAUGUUAAUUUUUUAAUGACUCAUUCGGCGCCUUACG
rnacentral:rRNA from 1 species